GCGGGUUUUUCAACAUAGAUCUAUGUGAUGAUAAUAUCUAUUAUAUGUACAGAAAGAGAAAGAAAUUGAAGGUUGUCGCAACCAGUAACAGGUAUUGGGCAUACGUAUUAGUUUCUAAACCACUUAGAUUAUAGCAGUCGGCGUCGUCCGAAAGCUAAAUUUUUUCUGGGUUUAGAGGAGAUACCGAUGAGCUUUAAGUGUAAAUUGUAAAUAAGUUGGGAGAUUGAGAGAUGAGCCGAGGAGGGAGAUAGGGAGAGCAGGAAGCAGGCAGCGUGGUGAUUUUUUACGUAUUGAGAGGGAGGGUCGGGAGAUUGAAAUGUUGUGUGAAGGAAUAAUCCAGACUAAUGAAGAGGCAAGGCAUCUCACUGUGCAGUUUAAGAAAAAGAAUAAACAAUAAAAAAAUUGAAACAUGUGUUUUCCUGUUCUUUCGCUGUGUUUAGUACCCACACCAAUUAACUUUGAUAAAUUAUCUUUACUAUCCCAUAUCAUUUCAUAAAAAAAAGAAAUGCAUUUUUAUCUUUACUAUCGCAGAAUCUGUUGAUUUUAUAUGUUUAAGAUAAAUAAGAAAGGUUUGGUUGGAUUGGUUUACAAGGAGAGAGGGAUUGUUUGUCACGUAAAAGGAGAGUUUAACUCUCUUUCAAUUCUAUAACGUAAAUCUGAAUAUUGUUAUAUUUUCAAGUCAUAUCUUAUGUGAUUAGUUUUUGUACAUGGUAUAAGUUAGUAAACGUACUGACACGAAGAAGACCAUGUCAUGCAUUUCUACUUCUAUUCCAAUCCGAUGUAUAUCAGACCGUUCCCGGUUCCCGCAACAGCCUCUGGUGUGUCUUCUACAACUCCGACAUCGACGAGCUAGAUAGCUGCUUUGCCUGGUCUCCACCCCACAUUUAACAAGUUCAAAUUCCAUAGAAGUCGGUUCUGCAGAUUGUGUCUGCAAUUAGAUCAGAGAUGAACUGCUCUUUUGUUAUCAUGCAUAAGAUUGCUUUUGGGAAGGAUCUAAAGCAGUUCCCUGUAUGUUUACUCUCUGUAUGUUUAUUGCCAUGUAGUUCUGUCUUUUCUAAUUGAUGUGUGUUCACAUUACACUGCGAUUCAUGAUGAUGAUUUAAUUGUUUCUCGAUUUGUAAUUGUUUGCAAAUAUUGUGGCAUAUUUGUAAUUGUAUGGAGCUCACGUGGCUCCCGUUGGAUUCAGUAUGCUUGAGCUACUGCCAAUCUAUAGGAACCCAUAAACAAGUAUGAGGAAGUACGUGAAUCAUUACUCAGCAAGGGUGAUUGUAGAGCGAUAUGGUACAAGAGCAUAAUUUGAAACCAGUUAUGGUUGAUUGGUGGUGGGGAAUUGUAGAGGGGAGAUGGUACACAUGAGUAUAAUUGGAAUGGAUACAAGAGUCUCUUUUAGAUGGU